rnacentral:rRNA from 1 species
AUACGGAGGGUGCAAGCGUUGUUGGGAAUUACUGGGCGUAAAGCGCGCGUAGGCGGUCUGUUAUGUCAGAUGUGAAAGUCCUCGGCUCAACCGGGGAAGUGCAUUUGAAACUGGCAGACUUGAGUACUGGAGGGGGUGGUGGAAUUCCCGGUGUAGAGGUGAAAUGCGUAGACAUCGGGAGGAAUACCGGUGGCGAAGGCGACCACCUGGCCAGAUACUGACGCUGAGGUGCGAAAGCGUGGGGAGCAAACAGGAUUAGAUACCCCGGUAGUCC